rnacentral:rRNA from 1 species
GACAGAGGGGGCAAGCGUUGCUCGGAAUUACUGGGCGUAAAGGGCGCGUAGGCGGGAUGGCAAGUCGGUCGUGAAAUCCCUCGGCUCAACUGAGGUACGUCGAUCGAUACUGCCGUUCUUGAGGGUUGCAGAGGAGACUGGAAUUCCCGGUGUAGCGGUGAAAUGUGUAGAGAUGCGGAGGAACACCAGUGGCGAAAGCGACUUUCUGGUCCUUAACUGACGCUGAGGCGCGAAAGCAUGGGAAGCGAACGGG